CUGACAAGAGACUGAAAGCAACAACAAUUUCAAAAUACUAAUUUACUAUUCACCAGUGUCCACUGUUCUACUGCUGUCAAGUCAAGCUGCACAAUUUAGAGAUUCCUGCAGACCCAUAAUUGUUUGUAAUUUCAACUAGAAGUGCUUUUCAUGCUCAGCGUACUGAAUUAUACACUGAACUAUAAUGUGAGGUUCUCUUCAUAUUGACACCGGCUCCCGUUGAGUAAGCUCUUGAAUCUUGCCUCAGAAUAUCUAGUCCACACCAAAGAGGUGAAUCAUUACAAGAUGAAGUCCUCUGGAGAAAGGAAUGGGCAUCGAGUAUCACUAUGUAGUGGUGAGGGUUAGGGUUAGAGGAAAUCACCAUGUAGUGAUGAUGCUACAUGGUGAUACUCCAUAUUUUAGAACAAUGUUAAAAAGUUAAAAAGGACUGUACACUUUUCAGAAUUAAGAGCAGGACUGUUCACAGCUCUACAAACAAAGACAUCUGAAGUCCAGAACUUGUACAGUCCGCCUCAGUGAACAUCUAUGAAUGGAAAAGCCGAGAGACAGAAAGCUGAAGGGAUGAUUGCUCAACGCUGCUAUGGUGAAACCGACGGCCCGUCCUGUGGCAUGUGACCGACACAUGACUGAGAGGCUGCUCCAGUGUUCACCGUGAGACCAUAUGACUGAGCACUGAGUCACGCUCAGCAACACCAGGGAUCUUGUGAGUUCUUCCCACACUCCAUGAAGCAUCCACACCCAGCCCAUGACACUGAUGGCUUUGUCACAACGUUCCCCAUCCCCCAACACUCCCAGUGUCAGAACUAUCAGCAGCUCUUUCCCCUCAUAUUUGGCCAUUAAUCCCAUAACAGAGUCUGUACAUACCAGUGUCUAUGAAAUCAUGAACUAGUCUGACCUGUUGAGCAGCCGCUCCUGUUCCCUCUAAAUGUGCAUACCAAACAGCACACAAUAUAGCAUGCAGACACACAGAUAAGAUUGGAAACUAUCCGGUUUAUUUAAUAACGUGAAUGAAAUUACAGUAUGGUGAAAAGUUUGAGCUUUUUUUGGGUUGCAAAGACUUGCCAAUUAACACACUUGUUAACAUUAGAACACACAACACUGACAUCAGAUCAAAAAUGUGUUUUGUUAAAGCGGCUGAUAAGAAAGCGUUGAAAAAGUUAUUGAAUCCCUGUGAGAAAGAUUCAGGUAGCCGUGUCCUUCAGUACAGCACAGGGUGGAACUGUCCUCCCUCUUCAGCUGCUCGGAGAUCAGACUGUGACCGACACAUGUAAACCUGAUAUGCUGAACUGACUGAAGUGUUUCCAGGUCAGACAGAGCUGUUCAUGUCCUCGAACAAUGAUGUGUGUGCUACCACGACAAUUAUUUAUUUUCAAAAAAGCUGCUGUAAGGUCUUGUUGUAAAUAAUCCACUAACAAAUGUGAAGUACAAAAAAACCCAACACAAAUAAAUUUAAUUAUUAAUUUGA